CUGUCUCCCGGGUCUCUUGAGGAGCCCGGGAAGGAGGCUCGGCUCGCGCUAUCGGGGCAGGGGCUUGCCGGGACCGGGCUGCGGCAAUCGUUAGCGGGCCAUGUCGGCUGCCCAGGGCUGGGACCGGAACCGCCGGCGGGGAGGAGGCGCAGCCGGCGGGGCCAGCGGGGUUAGCGGGGCCGGCGCGGCCGGCGGGGGUCGGGGCACCGGACAGCUCAACCGAUUCGUGCAGCUCUCCGGACGUCCGCACCUGCCAGGUAAGAAGAAAAUACGAUGGGACCCAGUUAGGAGGCGCUUCAUUCAGUCCUGUCCCAUCAUAAGGAUCCCUAACAGGUUCUUGAGAGGCCACAGACCUCCCCCAGCCCGCAGUGGACACCGUUGUGUGGCAGAUAACACCAAUCUCUAUGUGUUUGGAGGGUAUAACCCAGACUAUGAUGAAUCGGGAGGGCCAGAUAACGAAGACUAUCCUCUCUUCAGGGAGCUUUGGAGGUAUCAUUUUGCAACAGGCGUGUGGCACCAGAUGGGCACAGAUGGCUACAUGCCCCGGGAAUUGGCAUCUAUGUCACUUGUGCUGCAUGGAAACAACCUGCUUGUCUUUGGAGGCACAGGCAUCCCAUUUGGGGAGAGCAACGGCAAUGAUGUCCACGUCUGCAAUGUGAAGUACAAGAGAUGGGCCUUACUCAGCUGUCGUGGGAAGAGACCCAGUCGGAUAUACGGACAGGCAAUGGCCCUCAUCAAUGGGUCCCUUUACGUCUUUGG
rnacentral:lncRNA from 1 species